rnacentral:lncRNA from 1 species
UUUUGGGACGGACAUUAAAUUUUUUUUUUUUGAGAGAUAGGUAGCACGCUACCCGUUUCGUUUAUUUCAUUUAGAAAUAAAGUUAGCUGGAAAUGUGAAACAAUUAGGAUUCGAACUUGGAACCUCGGGUACCAAUCACCAAGCCCUUUGCCACUUGCUCUAGGGACGAUCGGUUUUAAAGAUAGGUAGCACGCUACCCGCUUCGAUUUAGAAAUAAACUUAGCUGGAAAUAUGAAUCAACUAGGAUUCGAACUUGGGACCUCGGGUACCAACCACCAAGCCCUUUGCCACUUGCUCUAGGAAUGGUCGGUGACGGACAUUAAAUUUUG